AGCUUUGCACAGCAGCAGUAUCGUAGCCAAUGAGGUUUAUCUGAGGCACGAUUAUUGCUAAUUGAGAAUCAUUUUUUCCUAUCUACCUCAAUAAAUACUUUUUAGAAAAAUUUUGCACAAACGCUGUGCCUUUUACAAGAGCACGUU
rfam:Mustela putorius furo unplaced genomic scaffold scaffold00065, whole genome shotgun sequence.